rnacentral:lncRNA from 1 species
AGAUUCGGUCGGGGGACGGAGAUUUUUCUGCUUCGGGUCCGGGUACCGAGUACAGGAAAUCUCACCCCUAACCAUAUCCCCAAUGUCAAGGGGUCCGAUGACACUCCACAAUGAAGCAAUGAAGCGUAUGCUCCACAAAUCGUGAGAAACACUGGAUCGUAGAAGACUGAAUUGAAGAAAAUUAGGUCAAGAUUUCUCCUCAAAUUAAAUAGAUUUCUUGAUCCCAGAUCAAUGAUUUUUUUUCUUUAUUAACUCGAUCUCAGAUUUCUCCUCCAAUUAUUCGAACCCAUCACACAGAUUCUCAUAUGAUCAGCAUUGAAAUUCUAUGAUCGAAUCUUAUGAUCGUCCAAAUUCAUUUGCUC